rnacentral:rRNA from 1 species
UACGUAGGGUGCGAGCGUUAAUCGGAAUUACUGGGCGUAAAGCGUGCGCAGGCGGUUUGGUAAGACAGAUGUGAAAUUCCCGGGGUUAACCUGGGAACUGCAUUUGUGACUGCCAGGCUAGAGUGCGGCAGAGGGGAGUGGAAUUCCGCGUGGAGCAGUGAAAUGCGUAGAUAUGCGGAGGAACACCGAUGGCGAAGGCAACUCCCUGGGCCUGCACUGACGCUCAUGCACGAAAGCGUUGGGGGCUAACAGG